AAAGGAAAAGAGGAAGUCACUUGAGGAAUGCUUAGAGAAGCGAUAACAUUUCCAAAUAAGGAAGGGGAAUAAGCUAUGACCUAAGGCUUGCCUGGGCUUGUUCAGGCAUGUCAGGGCAAAUACCUAGGUUAAAGUGGAAAAACUAAGAAUACAGGGCACACUUUUU